CCUACGGGUGGCAGCAGUGGGGAAUAUUGGGCAAUGGGCGCAAGCCUGACCCAGCAACGCCGCGUGAGGGAAGAAGGCUUUCGGGUUGUAAACCUCUUUUCUCAGGGAAGAAGAAAGUGACGGUACCUGAGGAAUAAGCCACGGCUAACUACGCGCCAGCAGCCGCGGUAAUACGUAGGUGGCAAGCGUUAUCCGGCUUUACUGGGGGUAAAGGGCGUGUAGGCGGGACUGCAAGUCAGAUGUGAAAACCACGGGCUCAACCUGUGGCCUGCAUUUGAAACUGUAGUUCUUGAGUACUGGAGAGGCAGACGGAAUUCCUGGUGUAGCGGUGAAAUGCGUAGAUAUUAGGAGGAACACCAGUGGCGAAGGCGGUCUGCUGGACAGCAACUGACGCUGAGGCGCGAAAGCGUGGGGAGCAAACAGGAUUAGAUACCCCGGUAGUC
rnacentral:rRNA from 1 species